GUGAUAAAAAUUACAGACCUCUACAUGCUUUCCACUUUGGGUUGUCAGAAGAGGUGCCUGUUAUCUGGGGAGUUCAGAAGAUUUCCGUGAGAAUAUCCUAAGAAAUGUCUCAAAGGAACCUUUGGAAUGGAGUUGAAAUCCCACAGGAAUGAUCUGCUAGUGGUAUCCUGUAUCAGUGGAGGCCUGGCCUUGGUGUGGCCUUUGUUGGCCACUCAGCGCCGAGGUGACGAGCGAACAAAGGGGUGAGAGAGCAUAGCUUCAAUGGGAGUCGGGUAUCAAGAGGAUAACCACCGCAGUGUCAAAGGGGCCCUGCCGCAGCCACACACAAAGAACGACAGACACCAUGAAAGAGGGAUGGGGUUUCUCAGCCUGGCGUAAAAAGGAAAACAUUCUCUAUCUCUUUCACUCACUUUCUUUUACUUUUGUGUUUGAAAGUCACAAAAAACAACAUGUGGGGGAAACAGUGUGUCACAAUGGUACCUUCUGAAGAGUCACGGGAGCGGAAUUGGUUUGAAUUCCUUUGAACGUUUCUCUCUCUCAAACACGGCUCACGCGGUGAUUUAGACGCUCUCGCGAAAGCACCGUUUGAUCACAGAAGCAGGGUUUUGACGAAGCACACGGGCCGAAAGCUGAAUAAAUGAAGAGAUUAGUUCAAAUGAAAACCAAAACAACACCUGUCCUGCUCUUAUCAUGGUAGGACUCUCUUUGUUGUUUUGUGGGUGACGGAGGAAGCCUCAAGGCUGGCCUGGAAUCAUGCCCGUCUUGUGUUGCCCUCAUCGCACACAUCUUUGUGCCCGAUGAGGUUAUCUGCCGGGGCGUUUCAGCGGUGAGGGACAGACAAUACCUUUCCGUGCCACGGGGAGUGGGUGUAGGGUUCUCCAGUUGUUGCUGAGCGUGCGACGAUGGGGUUAGGAAUACGGGACAAAGAAACAAAUUCCCCAGCUCCUGCUGCAAACAGGAUUAACACUCCCGGUAACAGACACAUACUGGCUUGGUCUAUUUAUUGUGUGCGCUAACCUGUCUGAAACCAAACUACAACCAAAACACCGAUCAGCUUUUUAGAUUGCAUAACGGCACAAUCUGUUUGAUUUUUGUAGCAGCUAUAUCUCUGAUAAAUAAAAGUGAAACAUCAUAGCCUUUAUCUGGGCAUCUUAAGAUGUUGUUGAAUGUGAGCCUCUGAAUUUCUGAUUUAAAGUGAUAUGCGCCCAAUGAAAAAUUAGAUCCCGCCCAAUCUAAUCUCAUUUCCCAUUUGAGAUUGCUUAUCUUCCCCACUCUUACGGUUAAAGGGGCAAUCUGAAACUAUAUCAAAGCUAACACCCCGCCUCUCUGGUGACAUGUAACCACUCUCAAAUGUAUAGACAGGGCUG